UACGUAGGGGGCAAGCGUUGUCCGGAAUCAUUGGGCGUAAAGAGCGUGUAGGCGGCCCGAUAAGUCCGCUGUGAAAGUCCAGGGCUCAACCCUGGAAUGCCGGUGGAUACUGUCGGGCUCGAAUCCGGAAGAGGUGAGUGGAAUUCCUGGUGUAGCGGUGAAAUGCGCAGAUAUCAGGAGGAACACCAAUGGCGAAGGCAGCUCACUGGGCGGUAUUGACGCUGAGACGCGAAAGCGUGGGGAGCAAACAGG
rnacentral:rRNA from 1 species